rnacentral:rRNA from 1 species
AGAGUUGAUCCUGGCUCAGAACGAACGCUGGCGGCAGGCUUAACACAUGCAAGUUGAACGGGAUUGGAAGGUAGCUUGCUAUUUUCAUGAGAGUAGCGCACUGGUGAGUAACACGUGGGAACGUACCUAUUGGUGGGGGACAACAGUUGGAAACGACUGCUAAUACCGCAUAAGCCCUGAGGGGGAAAGAUUUAUUGCCGAUAGAUCGGCCCGCGGAAGAUUAGGUAGUAGGUGGGGUAACGGCCUACCUAGCCGACGAUCUAUAGCUGGUCUAAGAGGACGAUCAGCCACAUUGGAACUGAGACACGGUCCAGACUCCUACGGGAGGCAGCAGCGAGGAAUAUUGGGCAAUGGAGGCAACUCUGACCCAGCCAUGCCCGCGUGAGUGAAGAAGGUUUUCGGAUUGUAAAGCUCUUUCAGAUGAGAAGAUGAUGACGGUAUCAUCAGAAGAAGCACCGGCUAACUUCGUGCCAGCCGCCGC